rnacentral:lncRNA from 1 species
CGGCGGGCUCCUUGAGGAGGCCCGGGGGGCCGCUGGCUCGGCAUCCGAAGGAAUGUCGAUGGCCAGGGUCGCCUGGACGGGUGCAGCCAAGCUCGUCUCCUCCGCCCUGGCCCUCUUCGCCGAUCCGGAGGCCGUCGCGCCCUUCCUCUUCUGAGCUCUCAUGCCCUUGGCGAGCAUCCGCGUGGCUUCGGCGUCCAUUGC